rnacentral:rRNA from 1 species
CUACGGGAUGCACCAGUGAGGAAUAUUGCACAAUGGGGGGAACCCUGAUGCAGCAACGCCGCGUGGAGGAUGACGCAUUUCGGUGUGUAAACCCCUUUUAUAUGUCAAGAAAAUGACGGUAGCUUAUGAAUAAGCACCGGCUAACUCCGUGCCAGCAGCCGCGGUAAUACGGAGGGUGCAAGCGUUACUCGGAAUCACUGGGCGUAAAGGACGCGUAGGCGGGUUGGAAAGUCAGGUGUGAAAUCCUACAGCUUAACUGUAGAACUGCACUUGAAACUUCUAAUCUAGAGUAUGGGAGGGGGAGAUGGAAUUAGUGGUGUAGGGGUAAAAUCCGUAGAUAUCACUAGGAAUACCUAAAGCGAAGGCGAUCUCCUGGAACAUUACUGACGCUAAGGCGUGAAAGCGUGGGGAGCAAACAGGAUUAGAUACCCUUGUAGUC